GACGAACGCUGGCGGCGUGCUUAACACAUGCAAGUCGAACGGACAGGCCCUGCUUUUGUGGGGUGCUCGAGUGGCGAACGGGUGAGUAACACGUGAGUAACCUGCCCUUGACUUUGGGAUAACUUCAGGAAACUGGGGCUAAUACCGGAUAGGAGCUCCUGCUGCAUGGUGGUGGUUGGAAAGUUUCGGCGGUUGGGGAUGGACUCGCGGCUUAUCAGCUUGUUGGUGGGGUAGUGGCUUACCAAGGCUUUGACGGGUAGCCGGCCUGAGAGGGUGACCGGCCACAUUGGGACUGAGAUACGGCCCAGACUCCUACGGGAGGCAGAAGUGGGGAAUAUUGCACAAUGGGCGGAAGCCUGAUGCAGCAACGCCGCGUGCGGGAUGACGGCCUUCGGGUUGUAAACCGCUUUCGCCUGUGACGAAGCGUGAGUGACGGUAAUGGGUAAAGAAGCACCGGCUAACUACGUG
rnacentral:rRNA from 1 species